rfam:Pseudomonas putida KT2440 complete genome.
UUAGUCUCGGUGGGUCGUUGCUCAUCAACGACCGGCUUUGACAGGCCGCAAC